UACGGGAGGCAGCAGGGGGAAUAUUGCACAAUGGGCGCAAGCCUGAUGCAGCCAUGCCGCGUGUAUGAAAAAGGCCUUCGGGUUGUAAAGUACUUUCAGUCGUGAGGAAGGUGUUAAGGUUAAUAACCUUAGCAAUUGACGUUAGCGACAGAAGAAGCACCGGCUAACUCCGUGCCAGCAGCCGCGGUAAUACGGAGGGUGCGAGCGUUAAUCGGAAUUACUGGGCGUAAAGGGCACGCAGGCGGUUAAUUAAGUUGGAUGUGAAAUCCCCGGGCUUAACCUGGGAAUGGCAUUCAAGACUGGUUAGCUAGAGUCUUGUAGAGGGGGUAGAAUUCCGAUGUGUAGCGGUGAAAUGCGUAGAGAUGUGGAGGAAUACCGGUGGCGAAGGCGGCCCCUGGACAAAGACUGGACGCUCAUGUGCGAAAGCUGGGGAGCGAAACAGGGAUUAGAUA
rnacentral:rRNA from 1 species